GACGAACGCUGGCGGCGUGCUUAACACAUGCAAGUCGAACGGAAAGGCCCUGCUUUUGUGGGGUGCUCGAGUGGCGAACGGGUGAGUAACACGUGAGUAACCUGCCCUUGACCUUGGGAUAACUUCAGGAAACUGGGGCGAAUACCGGAUAGGAGCACCUGCUGCAUGGUGGGGGUUGGAAAGUGUCGGCGGUUGGGGAUGGACUCGCGGCUUAUCAGCUUGUUGGUGGGGUAGUGGCUUACCAAGGCUUUGACGGGUAGCCGGCCUGAGAGGGUGACCGGCCACAUUGGGACUGAGAUACGGCCCAGACUCCUACGGGAGGCAGCAGUGGGGAAUAUUGCACAAUGGGCGGAAGCCUGAUGCAGCAACGCCGCGUGCGGGAUGACGGCCUUCGGGUUGUAAACCGCUUUCGCCUGUGACGAAGCGUGAGUGACGGUAAUGGGUAAAGAAGCACCGGCUAACUACGUG
rnacentral:rRNA from 1 species